GGCGGCAUAGCCAAGUGGCUAAGGCGGAGGACUGCAAAUCCUUUAUUCCCCAGUUCGAAUCUGGGUGCCGCCUCCA
rnacentral:tRNA from 1 species